UUACCAAGAAGCAUUGCCUAAAGAGGGUUUCAUACGAAAGACUCGAACAUAAUGCUUAGCAAAACAGUAGUUUCACCCGUUGUAAUCUUAGUAGUUGUGUCAGAGCUAGUGACAACUGCUGUAAGGCCAGCGGGACAGUAAUGUUUACAAUAUUAGACUGUCAACGGCCAGAUAGUUAUAUGCCGGUGAUUUAAAUUAGAACACACAUAUUUUUCUUUAUUAUUGAAACGUAAUGUUAUGCUAGUAUUAAAAAUGAAACCUUCCUAGAUGCCCAACGGUACACAUUGAUGACCUCUUUAGUAACCUGAAUAAU